rnacentral:rRNA from 1 species
AGUGAACGCUGGCGGCGUGCUUAACACAUGCGAGUCGAACGAGAACGGGAUAUAGCUUGCUAUAUUUGUCAGCUAAGUGGCGCACGGGUGAGUAAUGUAUAGAUAACCUGCCCUCUAGAAAGGAAUAACAGUUGGAAACGACUGCUAAUGCCCUAUAUGCCUUUAAUACAUAAGUAUGCAAGGGAAACGCUUUAGUGCUAGAGGAUGGGUCUGUAUGGCAUCAGCUUGUUGGUGAGGUAAUGGCUCACCAAGGCUAUGACGCCUAACUGGUUUGAGAGAAUGAUCAGUCACAAUGGAACUGAGACACGGUCCGGACUCCUACGGGAGGCAGCAGUGGGGAAUAUUGCACAAUGGACGAAAGUCUGAUGCAGCAACGCCGCGUGGAGGAUGACACAUUUCGGUGCGUAAACUCCUUUUAUAUAGGAAGAUAAUGACGGUACUAUAUGAAUAAGCACCGGCUAACUCCGUGCCAGCCGCCGCCGUAA